GCCCGCAUGGUGAAAUUGGUAAACACUGCGGACUUAAAAUCCGCUGCCGCUAGGCUUGCCGGUUCAAGUCCGGCUGCGGGCACCA
rnacentral:tRNA from 1 species